UGGGCUGCCCGACACAUUGACUUAUUUAUCACUCAGUGUCCCCUUGGAUGGAGGAGCAAGCACAGUAAGACCAAGAUAAACCAGGAUCCUGUUGACUGUGGUUUUGCUUUCAGAACUGGACUCAGAGCCUUUCAUUGGAUGGAAGAACCCUUCCAAGCCAGAGGGUGAUGCUUUUGAGAACCUGGAAAGCAGCAAGGCAGAGGGUCUAGUCAGUCAUCUACCUCUGGCCUCAGGUGUCCAGAGACAGAACAAUACUACAAGAAGACAUCUGUUUGGCAAACGCAAAAUUGCAUGUCGCUUCCCUGGCCUGCAGAAGUAGGACACAGAGAAUCCACAUUUAUUUAUGCACUUCUAGCAAGAUAAUGCUGAUUUUGAAACUGUCUCCCACACACACACACCAAAAAAAAAAAAAAAAACCUCUUUUCCAUUAAUGAAGAAAACAGACAGCAAAUCAAGUUAAAACCAAAGAGAUUUCUGGAGGGAUCUGUUUGAGAAUUGACAUCAGAACCACAAAGCACAGUCUGCCACCUUUACUUUACUAACAUCUGCACGGAUUGGACAAACCCAGCACUCAACCUCCACUGUGAACCAUUACUAAGAAGACCAAUGCCAGAUACAUACACUGUGCUAGAGACUUAGCCUUGACCUCUAGAUCCACCAAGCACACGGCCAGCCAGGAACACCUGGAGGAGCUGAGCUCACACUGCACCUUCUUUGCCAUCACACAAGCUGUGCUGGAAGCAGACAUCAGGGUCUGGGCAGUGCUCUUGCUGGAGUGUUUAACCUGAGCUCAGUCAGGAGGGAAUUCUCAGACAACCAUAGAAUUUAGACCUCAUAGUGAGACACCUGACCUGUCUGUCUGCAAAGUUUUCAUGUCACCACCAAUAAGAUGACAAAGAGGAAAGGAGCUAUUUGGACACCAAGUGCACAGAAGAAUUGUGUUACCUCCUUUUGCCCUUUUGAAGCCCAAAUAUCUCCUUCCCAUUUUGCGCGAACUUUCUGGUGGUGAUGUGGGUUCUCUGAGGAUAGCUGGUCAGUGUCUCGCUCAGUGGUCACUUCUGACGCUAUGUAAUGAUGUUUUCAAGACUAAACUCGGGCUGCCCCUUCAGCAAGAGCACAACUAAUGCUGUAUGGACACUUCCUGCCACAGCUCACUCUGAGAACCAAGUGUGCAGCUAGUGACUCUGAUUGUGACUUUUUCUUAUGAUAAUCUCAGUCCUCUUGAGAGGACAAAGAUGCUCAUUAUCAAAUCACACUGUAAUAUUUCUGUCGCAAUAGUGUAUUAUUAAUUUCUGAAGGGUAGUUUAAUAUAUUUUCUAAUGAUCUGUAUCAAAGAUA